UUGGAAAUUUCCGCCACAUGCCUGUUA
rnacentral:sRNA from 1 species